rnacentral:rRNA from 1 species
UGCAGUCGACGGGGGUGGGGGCAACUCCGCUUCAGUGGCGAACGGGUGAGUAAUGCAUCGGAACGUGCCCAGUCGUGGGGGAUAACGUACCGAAAGCUACGCUAAUACCGCAUACGAACUGAGGUUGAAAGCGGGGGAUCGCAAGACCUCGCGCGAUUGGAGCGGCCGAUGGCAGAUUAGGUAGUUGGUGGGGUAAAGGCUCACCAAGCCGACGAUCUGUAGCUGGUCUGAGAGGACGACCAGCCACACUGGGACUGAGACACGGCCCAGACUCCUACGGGAGGCAGCAGUGGGGAAUUUUGGACAAUGGGCGCAAGCCUGAUCCAGCCAUUCCGCGUGCAGGAUGAAGGCCCUCGGGUUGUAAACUGCUUUUGUACGGAACGAAAAGGCUUUCUCUAAUACAGAGGGCUCAUGACGGUACCGUAAGAAUAAGCACCGGCUAACUACGUGCCAGCAGCCGCGGUAAUACGUAGGGUGCAAGCGUUAAUCGGAAUUACUGGGCGUAAAGCGUGCGCAGCGGUGAUGUAAGACAGGUGUGAAAUCCCCGGGCUUAACCUGAACUGCAUUUGUGACUGCAUCGCUGAGUGCGGCAGAGGAUGGAAUUCCGCGUGUA